GUCAAAUAUAUUAAAGUUUAUGAUGGAUACCUAGGCAUUUAGAGUCGAUGAAGGGCGUGGAUACCUACGAAAUGCUUCGGUUAGUUGGAAACAAACUUUGAUCCGAAGAUUCCCGAAUAGGAAAACCUAUAUAACUACUUAGUAAAUUCAUAAUUAAGUAAGAGACAACCUGCUGAAUUGAAACAUCUUAGUAAGCAGAGGAAAAGAAAGCAAACGCGAUUUCCUUAGUAGCGGCGAGCGAAACGGAAAUAGUCUAAUCAUAAAAAAAAAACUAUUAAACGAAGCAGCUGAAUCCUGCACCAUAGAUGGUGAAAGUCCAGUAGUUUAAAAUAGAAAAAAUGAUUAUAAAGUAGCAUGGAACACGUGAAAUUCCGUGUGAAUAUACGAGGACCACCUCGUAAGACUAAAUACUCCUAAAUGACCGAUAGUGAAACAGUACCGUGAGGGAAAGGUGAAAAAGAACCCCUGUAGGGGAGUGAAAAAGAACAUGAAAUCGUAAACUGACAAUCAGUGGGAGCUAAAGUGACCGCGUGCCUGUUGAAGAAUGAGCCGGCGACUUAUAGGUAGUGGCUUGGUUAAAAUAACUUUUUGGAGCCAAAGCGAAAGCAAGUCUGAUAAGGGCGUAUGUCACUAUUUAUAGACCCGAACCCGAGUGAUCUAACCAUGGCCAGGAUGAAUCUUGGGUAACACCAAGUGGAAGACCGAACCGACUGAUGUUGAAAAAUCAGCGGAUGAGCUGUGGUUAGGGGUGAAAUUCCAGUCGAACUCGGAGCUAGCUGGAUCUCCUCGAAAUGUGUUGAGGCGCAGCGGUUGAUGAUGGGCUAUUUAGGGGUAAAGCACUGUUUCGGUGCGGGCUGCGAAAGCGGUACCAAAUCGUGGCAAACUAAGAAUACUAAAUAUGCUUUCCAUCAACCAGUAAGACAGUGGGGGAUAAGCUUCAUUGUCAAAAGGGAAACAGCCCAGAUCACCAGUUAAGGCCCCAAAGUGAUGGCUAAGUGAUAAAGGAAGUAAAAAGGCAAAGACAACCAGAAGGUUUGCUUAGAAGCAGCCAUCCUUGAAAGAGUGCGUAAUAGCUCACUGGUAGAGCCUUUUUGCGCCGAAAAUGAACGGGGCUAAGUCAUCCGCCGAAACUGUGGGUACAGUUUUAACUGUUACGGUAGAGGAGCGUUCCGUUAUAGGGUGAAGUUAAGAUGUGAAUUUUAAUGGACGAAACGGAAGUGAGAAUGUCGGCUUGAGUAACGAAAACAUUGGUGAGAAUCCAAUGCCCCGAAAACCUAAGGGUUCCUUCACAAGGUUCGUCCAUGGAGGGUUAGUCAGGACCUAAGGCGAGAUCGAAAGGUGUAGUCGAUGGAAAACAGGUUAAUAUUCCUGUACUUGAUUUGAUUUGAUAAAGAGGGACGGAGAAGGCGGUAACUAGCUAGAUAUUGGUAUUCUAGUAGAAGUAUUGGAUUCUUAAAAGAAUGAAAAAAAACUUUCUUUAGAAAACAUGCGAUCUAACUGGUACUCUAUUCUAUAGAGUUCUGGUUUAGUUUUAGUCAUACUUCCAAGAAAAGCUUUUGUUAUCGUUAAAUUAAAUCAACCUGUACCCUAAACUGACACAAGUAGGUAGGUAGAGAAUACUAAGGGGCGCGAGAUAACUCUCUCUAAGGAACUCGGCAAAAUGGCCCCGUAACUUCGGGAGAAGGGGUGCCUACAUUAUGUAGGCCGCAGUGACCAGGCCCAGGCGACUGUUUAUCAAAAACACAGGUCUCCGCAAAGUCGUAAGACAAUGUAUGGGGGCUGACGUCUGCCCAGUGCCGGAAGGUAAAAGAAGUUGGUUAUUCUUCGGAAAAAGCUGACGACUGAAGCCCCGGUGAACGGCGGCUGUAACUCUGACAGUCCUAAGGUGGAAAAGCGAAAUUCCUUGUCGAGUAAGUUUCGACCCGCACGAAAGACGUAACGAUCUGGGCACUGUCUCGGAGAGAGACUCGGUGAAAUAGAAAUGUCUGUGAAGAUGCGGACUACUUAUACCAGGACAGAAAGACCCUAUGAAGCUUGACUGUAAUUUGGAAUUGGGUUCGGGCUUUUUUUGCGCAGUCUAGGUGGGAGGCGUUGAUAUUAAGUUUUCGGACUUAAUGGAGCCAUCAGUGAGAGACCACUCUAAAAGAGCUAGAAUUCUAAUAGGACUCCUUGAAUCAGGAUCCUUGACAGUUUCAGAUGGACAGUUUGACUGGGGCGGUGACCUCCCAAAAGGUAACGGAGGUGUGCAAAGGUUCCCUCAAGCUGGACGGAAAUCAGCUGUAGAGUGCAAAGGUAUAAGGGAGCUUGACUGCAAGACCAACAAGUCGAGCAGAGGCGAAAGCCGGCCUUAGUGAUCCGACGGUUCCGAGUGGAAGGGCCGUCGCUCAACGGAUAAAAGUUACUCUAGGGAUAACAGGCUGAUCUCCCCCAAGAGUUCACAUCGACGGGGAGGUUUGGCACCUCGACGAUGUCGUUUCAUCGCAACCUGGGGCUGGAGUAGGUCCCAAGGGUUGGGCUGUUCGCCCAUAAAAGCGGUACGUGAGAUGGGUUCAGAACGUCGCGAGACAGUUCGGUCCAUAUCCGGUAUAAGCGCAAGAGCAUUGAGAGGAUCUCAACAUUGUACGAGAGGACCCGAAGGGACGUACCGAUGGUGUACCAGUUCUUAUGCCAAUAGGAAACGCUGGGUAGCUAUGUACGGAGUGGAUAAUCGCUGAAAGCAUUUAAGUGAGAAGCCCACCUCAAGAUGAAUGCUCUCUAUCAGAUCGCGGCAAGACAAGCCGAUAGAUUGGCAUCAAGUGUAAGAUUAGUAAUAAUUUCAGCUGAGAUGUACAAAGGAUCGAUUGAUUUUGAC
rnacentral:rRNA from 1 species